rnacentral:tRNA from 11 species
GCUGGUUUAGCUCCAAUGGUAGAGCAACUGACUUGUAAUCAUCAGGUCGCCAGUUCGAUUCCGGUAGCCGGCACCA